GUGUUGUAUGAAAGGAGAGAAGGUUAGCACUCCCCUUGUCAAGGAUGGAAGAGGCCCUCGGGCCUGACAACACACAUACGGUUAAGGCAUUGCCACCUACUUCAUGGCAUCUAACCACUGUUUUUU
rnacentral:ncRNA from 1 species